rnacentral:lncRNA from 1 species
CAAGGUAAGAAGAACUACAGAGGAAGAACCUAAUGCAGACGUUUCCCAGGAGACUUUAACUGAAGUAUCAGCAAACUGAAAGUCCUCUGUCACCCUGAGAGAAGACCUGGGAUCACAGGACAACGGGCAGUGUGACAGCCUGUGUACGACAGAGCAGAGCCUCCCAUUCCCAAUCACCCAAAGUUUUAUUCCAGGCCAGGCCUCCGUGGUAUCUUUUUUCUGGCACCAUAUCUGUAGAGUCUGCUGAACAUCAAACAAUUCUCCAACACUAACUUAUUGUCUCACAUUUGAAUUCUGACAGCACCCAGAGUCAUCGUAGACCCUGAUUCAGGGCUCAGUCCCGCAACAUUGUCCUCAUGGCAGAUGCCAGUCACAAACCCCAAGGGCCCAUCUAUGCUUCUGAGCUACUGUUUAAAACCUGGGGAGUCCCAUAACCUCUCUGAAGUUCAAUAAUUUGGUAGAGCUACUCACAGAAUCAUCAAAAUACUGUAGUUAUCUUUACUGGUUUAAUAUAUAAGAUGCAGCCCUGGAAAAGCCAAAUGGAAGAAAUGCACAGAACAAAGAAAAGAGAUGGGGAAAGAUGAAACACAUAGAUAAUCCUGGAAAAUUUUUCUGAUUAAUAAAAUUCUCCAUCCUU